AAAUAUUAUGUAAUAUUAGUGGAAAAAAUGUCACAAAGUAACUUGCAAAAUAUUAGCUGAUUUAUCUUAAUUUAAUUAUAUAGUAAUAUUUUGAUAUUUAUAAUAAUAAAAGAAGUUUUUGAUUGGAUAAUCCAGGUAAGUUGCAGCGUUGGCCUAGAAGAUGUUGGAGAAAUAGCUUGCACAUUGUGGGCCCAGAAGAUUAGCUAAUUUUCCAUGUCAUUCAUCGCCACGCGCCUCCGACGCUCUCAUCCGAAAACUCCGUUUGCCCCGGAGGACAAGCCGGAUUCUUCUCAGAACCCCGACCCCCACGAAAGAAACCCGAACCCGAGUACCGGAAAGACCGCGAAGAGUGGUCGGACACAGCGAUCGCGUGUCUUCUCGAGGCUUAUACUGAAAAGUUUAACCAACUCAACCGCGGGAGAGAUUGGGAGGAGGUUGCGGAGGCCCUUAGCGAAAGAUGCGGCUUCUUCGGAAACGGAGAUGGAGCGGAGUUUAAAUGGUGGCAGUGCAGAUUGCUAGGGGUGGAGGAAUUUACGAACUCCUUCAAGGUACAAAGGGUGAUGGUGUCUAUGAUUGCCAUUCUGAUAAAGGCAGGGAGGCAGGUGGUUUCCAGUGGAUUAUCGUCUAUGGACACGAUGGCCAUUACAUACUGUGAAGAGAACGGAAUUCCUGGUAAUGUAAUAUUUUAGUUGCACUCAUUCCUUUUGUAUUUUCCUGAAAUUUCAUAUGCUCUUUGUGCAGUUGUGGUAUUUGAUUUGCUUGAACCUGGGAAUAUUUCUAGAGCAUUAUGUGGAGGACGAGUUGGCACUUUGAUUGACCAACAACGAAGGAUGAGUCAGAACUGUAAAUGAAUUGGAAGUACCACAGAUCGAUGAUGCAUAAUGAAAAGAGCCUGCUUCAUCUGUAAUGCCAUGGAUCCAUCCACUUGACAACUCUACUGCUGCUGGCUAAGAAGGGCAACCUUAUUCAAUAAUAUCCUGCAUUUAGUCAGGAUACACUUCUGCAACAUAAAUGGGAGAGUGGGAGGA